rnacentral:tRNA from 1 species
GCAGGCAUAGUUUAACCCAAACAUUAGAUUGUGAUUCUAAAAAUAGAAGCUAGACCCUUCUUGCCUACC